CGGAGUUCUGAUGGGAUCCGGUGCUUUAGUGCUGGUAUGAUCGCAUCCGACAUACCGUGCGUUCUCCUCCCCUUUAUGCCCGCGCCUCCGUGUACGGCCCGCCCAUAGCUCCUUCGACGGCAGCCGCCUAGGAACGCGGAGAAUAUAUGACAAAGGAACGGCCAAAAAUAAAAAGAAAGACCUUUCUUAUGAAAAAACAGACAUACCCAAGGAAUGCAACACGAGGACUUCCCAGGUGCCCAAGCACGCUUAACUUCGGAGUUCUGAUGGGAUCCGGUGCUUUAGUGCUGGUAUGAUCGCAUCCGACAUACCGUGCGUUCUCCUCCCCUUUAUGCCCGCGCCUCCGUGUACGGCCCGCCCAUAGCUCCUUCGACGGCGCCGCCUAGGAACGCGGAGAAAAUAUGACAAAGGAACGGCCAAAAAUAAAAAGAAAGACACUUUCUUUUGAAAAAACAAACAAAAAAAAGGAAUGCAACACGAGGACUUCCCAGGAGGUCACCCAUCCUAGUACUACUCUCGCCCAAGCACGCUUAACUUCGGAGUUCUGAUGGGAUCCGGUGCUUUAGUGCUGGUAUGAUCGCAUCCGACAUACCGUGCGUUCUCCUCCCCUUUAUGCCCGCGCCUCCGUGUACGGCCCGCCCAUAGCUCCUUCGACGGCGCCGCCUAGGAACGCGGAGAAAAUAUGACAAAGGAACGGCCAAAAACAAAAAGAAAGACCUUUCUUUUGAAAAAACAAACGCCUCCGUGUACGGCCCGCCCAUAGCUCCUUCGACGGCGCCGCCUAGGAACGCGGAGAAAAUAUGACAAAGGAACGGCCAAAAAUAAAAAGAAAGACCUUUCUUUUGAAAAAACAAACAAAAAAAAGGAAUGCAACACGAGGACUUCCCAGGAGGUCACCCAUCCUAGUACUACUCUCGCCCAAGCACGCUUAACUUCGGAGUUCUGAUGGGAUCCGGUGCUUUAGUGCUGGUAUGAUCGCAUCCGACAUACCGUGCGUUCUCCUCCCCUUUAUGCCCGCGCCUCCGUGUACGGCCCGCCCAUAGCUCCUUCGACGGCGCCGCCUAGGAACGCGGAGAAAAUAUGACAAAGGAACGGCCAAAAAUAAAAAGAAAGACCUUUCUUUUGAAAAAACAAACGCCUCCGUGUACGGCCCGCCCAUAGCUCCUUCGACGGCGCCGCCUAGGAACGCGGAGAAAAUAUGACAAAGGAACGGCCAAAAAUAAAAAGAAAGACCUUUCUUUUGAAAAAACAAACAAAAAAAAGGAAUGCAACACGAGGACUUCCCAGGAGGUCACCCAUCCUAGUACUACUCUCGCCCAAGCACGCUUAACUUCGGAGUUCUGAUGGGAUCCGGUGCUUUAGUGCUGGUAUGAUCGCAUCCGACAUACCGUGCGUUCUCCUCCCCUUUAUGCCCGCGCCUCCGUGUACGGCCCGCCCAUAGCUCCUUCGACGGCGCCGCCUAGGAACGCGGAGAAAAUAUGACAAAGGAACGGCCAAAAAUAAAAAGAAAGACCUUUCUUUUGAAAAAACAAACGCCUCCGUGUACGGCCCGCCCAUAGCUCCUUCGACGGCGCCGCCUAGGAACGCGGAGAAAAUAUGACAAAGGAACGGCCAAAAAUAAAAAGAAAGACCUUUCUUUUGAAAAAACAAACAAAAAAAAGGAAUGCAACACGAGGACUUCCCAGGAGGUCACCCAUCCUAGUACUACUCUCGCCCAAGCACGCUUAACUUCGGAGUUCUGAUGGGAUCCGGUGCUUUAGUGCUGGUAUGAUCGCAUCCGACAUACCGUGCGUUCUCCUCCCCUUUAUGCCCGCGCCUCCGUGUACGGCCCGCCCAUAGCUCCUUCGACGGCGCCGCCUAGGAACGCGGAGAAAAUAUGACAAAGGAACGGCCAAAAAUAAAAAGAAAGACCUUUCUUUUGAAAAAACAAACAAAUAAAAGGAAUGCAACACGAGGAGUUCCCAGGAGGUCACCCAUCCUAGUACUACUCUCGCCCAAGCACGCUUAACUUCGGAGUUCUGAUGGGAUCCGGUGCUUUAGUGCUGGUAUGAUCGCAUCCGACAUACCGUGCGUUCUCCUCCCCUUUAUGCCCGCGCCUCCGUGUACGGCCCGCCCAUAGCUCCUUCGACGGCGCCGCCUAGGAACGCGGAGAAAAUAUGACAAAGGAACGGCCAAAAAUAAAAAGAAAGACCUUUCUUUUGAAAAAACAAACAAAAAAAAGAAAUGCAACACGAGGACUUCCCAGGAGGUCACCCAUCCUAGUACUACUCUCGCCCAAGCACGCUUAACUUCGGAGUUCUGAUGGGAUCCGGUGCUUUAGUGCUGGUAUGAUCGCAUCCGACAUACCGUGCGUUCUCCUCCCCUUUAUGCCCGCGCCUCCGUGUACGGCCCGCCCAUAGCUCCUUCGACGGCGCCGCCUAGGAACGCGGAGAAAAUAUGACAAAGGAACGGCCAAAAAUAAAAAGAAAGACCUUUCUUUGAAAAAACAAACAAUUCACAGGAAUGCAACACGAGGACUUCCCACGAGGUCACCCAUCCUAGUACUACUCUCGCCCAAGCACGCUUAACUUCGGAGUUCUGAUGGGAUCCGGUGCUUUAGUGCUGGUAUGAUCGCAUCCGACAUACCGUGCGUUCUCCUCCCCUUUAUGCCCGCGCCUCCGUGUACGGCCCGCCCAUAGCUCCUUCGACGGCGCCGCCUAGGAACGCGGAGAAAAUAUGACAAAGGAACGGCCAAAAAUAAAAAGAAAGACCUUUCUUUUGAAAAAACAAACCAAAAAAAAGGAAUGCAACACGAGGACUUCCCAAGAGGUCACCCAUCCUAGUACUACUCUCGCCCAAGCACGCUUAACUUCGGAGUUCUGAUGGGAUCCGGUGCUUUAGUGCUGGUAUGAUCGCAUCCGACAUACCGUGCGUUCUCCUCCCCAUUAUGCCCGCGCCUCCGUGUACGGCCCGCCCAUAGCUCCUUUGACGGCGCCGCUUAGGAACGCGGAGAAAAUAUGACAAAGGAACGGCCAAAAAUAAAAAGAAAGACCUUUCUUUUGAAAAAACAAACAAAUAAAAGGAAUGCAACACGAGGACUUCCCAGGAGGUCACCCAUCCUAGUACUACUCUCGCCCAAGCACGCUUAACUUCGGAGUUCUGAUGGGAUCCGGUGCUUUAGUGCUGGUAUGAUCGCAUCCGACAUACCGUGCGUUCUCCUCCCCUUUAUGCCCGCGCCUCCGUGUACGGCCCGCCCAUAGCUCCUUCGACGGCGCCGCCUAGGAACGCGGAGAAAAUAUGACAAAGGAACGGCCAAAAACAAAAAGAAAGACCUUUCUUUUGAAAAAACAAACAAAAAAAAGGAAUGCAACACGAGGACUUCCCAGGAGGUCACCCAUCCUAGUACUACUCUCGCCCAAGCACGCUUAACUUCGGAGUUCUGAUGGGAUCCGGUGCUUUAGUGCUGGUAUGAUCGCAUCCGACAUACCGUGCGUUCUCCUCCCCUUUAUGCCCGCGCCUCCGUGUACGGCCCGCCCAUAGCUCCUUCGACGGCGCCGCCUAGGAACGCGGAGAAAAUAUGACAAAGGAACGGCCAAAAAUAAAAAGAAAGACCUUUCUUUUGAAAAAACAAACAAAUAAAAGGAAUGCAACACGAGGACUUCCCAGGAGGUCACCCAUCCUAGUACUACUCUCGCCCAAGCACGCUUAACUUCGGAGUUCUGAUGGGAUCCGGUGCUUUAGUGCUGGUAUGAUCGCAUCCGACAUACCGUGCGUUCUCCUCCCCUUUAUGCCCGCGCCUCCGUGUACGGCCCGCCCAUAGCUCCUUCGACGGCGCCGCCUAGGAACGCGGAGAAAAUAUGACAAAGGAACGGCCAAAAAUAAAAAGAAAGACCUUUCUUUUGAAAAAACAAACAAAUAAAAGGAAUGCAACACGAGGACUUCCCAGGAGAUCACCCAUCCUAGUACUACUCUCGCCCAAGCACGCUUAACUUCGGAGUUCUGAUGGGAUCCGGUGCUUUAGUGCUGGUAUGAUCGCAUCCGACAUACCGUGCGUUCUCCUCCCCUUUAUGCCCGCGCCUCCGUGUACGGCCCGCCCAUAGCUCCUUCGACGGCGCCGCCUAGGAACGCGGAGAAAAUAUGACAAAGGAACGGCCAAAAAUAAAAAGAAAGACCUUUCUUUUGAAAAAACAAACAAAAAAAAGGAAUGCAACACGAGGACUUCCCACGAGGUCACCCAUCCUAGUACUACUCUAGUACCAAGCACGCUUAACUUCGGAGUUCUGAUGGGAUCCGGUGCUUUAGUGCUGGUAUGAUCGCAUCCGACAUACCGUGCGUUCUCCUCCCCUUUAUGCCCGCGCCUCCGUGUACGGCCCGCCCAU
rnacentral:lncRNA from 1 species